rnacentral:rRNA from 1 species
UACGGGGGGUGCGAGCGUUGUCCGGAAUCACUGGGCGUAAAGGGCGCGUAGGUGGUUUGAUAAGGGUGUGGUGAAAGCCCGGGGCUCAACCCCGGGUCUGCCGUGCCGACUGUCAAACUCGAGGGCUGUAGAGGCAGACGGAAUUCCGGGUGUAGCGGUGGAAUGCGUAGAGAUUCGGAGGAAGACCGGUGGCGAAGGCGGUCUGCUGGGCAGUUUCUGACACUGAUGCGCGACAGCGUGGGGAGCAAACAGG